rnacentral:rRNA from 1 species
UACAGAGGUCCCGAGCGUUGUUCGGAUUCAUUGGGCGUAAAGGGUGCGUAGGCGGCGGGGAAAGUCUGAUGUGAAAUCCUGGGGCUCAACCCUGGAACUGCAUUGGAUACUUCCUUGCUAGAGUACUGGAGAGGAAACUGGAAUUUACGGUGUAGCAGUGAAAUGCGUAGAGAUCGUAAGGAAGACCAGUGGCGAAGGCGAGUUACUGGACACAUAUUGACGCUGAGGUGCGAAAGCGUGGGGAGCAAACAGG